AAUCUGCCGAAAAGUGGGGGAUAGCUCGCCGAAAGGCGAAUUAAUACCGCAUGUGGUGAGGGGAGACAUCUCUCUGAAUCCAAAGCCGGGGCAACCUGGCGCUUUUUGAGGAGCCCGCGGCCUAUCAGCUAGUUGGUGAGGUGACGGCUCACCAAGGCUAUGACGGGUAGCUGGUCUGAGAGGACGACCAGUCACACUGGAACUGAGACACGGUCCAG
rnacentral:rRNA from 1 species